UUAAGUGACUAAGCGUACACGGUGGAUGCCUAGGCAGUCAGAGGCGAUGAAGGGCGUGCUAAUCUGCGAUAAGCGUCGGUAAGGUGAUAUGAACCGUAAUAACCGGCGAUACCCCGAAUGGGGAAACCCAGUGUGUUUCGACACACUAUCAUGUCAUGAAUACAUAGUGGCAUGAGGCGAACCGGGGGAACUGAAACAUCUAAGUACCCCGAGGAAAAGAAAUCAACCGAGAUUCCCCCAGUAGCGGCGAGCGAACGGGGAGGAGCCCAGAACCUGAAUCAGUUCUUGUGUUAGUGGAAGCGUCUGGAAAGUCGCGCAGUAAAGGGUGAUAGCCCCGUACACUAAAAUGCAUUAAUUGUGAGUUCGAUGAGUAGGGCGGGACACGUGACAUCCUGUCUGAAUAUGGGGGGACCAUCCUCCAAGGCUAAAUACUCCUGACUGACCGAUAGUGAACCAGUACCGUGAGGGAAAGGCGAAAAGAACCCCGGCGAGGGGAGUGAAAUAGAACCUGAAACCGUGUACGUACAAGCAGUGGGAGCACCUUCGUGGUGUGACUGCGUACCUUUUGUAUAAUGGGUCAGCGACUUAUAUUUUGUAGCAAGGUUAACCGAAUAGGGGAGCCGUAGGGAAACCGAGUCUUAACUGGGCGUCUAGUUGCAAGGUAUAGACCCGAAACCCGGUGAUCUAGCCAUGGGCAGGUUGAAGGUUGGGUAACACUAACUGGAGGACCGAACCGACUAAUGUUGAAAAAAUUAGCGGAUGACUUGUGGCUGGGGGUGAAAGGCCAAUCAAACCGGGAGAUAGCUGGUUCUCCCCGAAAGCUAUUUAGGUAGCGCCUCGUGAACUCAUCUUCGGGGGUAGAGCACUGUUUCGGCUAGGGGGCCAUCCCGGCUUACCAAACCGAUGCAAACUCCGAAUACCGAAGAAUGUUAUCACGGGAGACACACGGCGGGUGCUAACGUCCGUCGUGAAGAGGGAAACAACCCAGACCGCCAGCUAAGGUCCCAAAGUCAUGGUUAAGUGGGAAACGAUGUGGGAAGGCACAGACAGCCAGGAUGUUGGCUUAGAAGCAGCCAUCAUUUAAAGAAAGCGUAAUAGCUCACUGGUCGAGUCGGCCUGCGCGGAAGAUGUAACGGGGCUAAACCAUGCACCGAAGCUGCGGCAGCGACGCUUAGGCGUUGUUGGGUAGGGGAGCGUUCUGUAAGCCUGUGAAGGUGUGCUGUGAGGCAUGCUGGAGGUAUCAGAAGUGCGAAUGCUGACAUAAGUAACGAUAAAGCGGGUGAAAAGCCCGCUCGCCGGAAGACCAAGGGUUCCUGUCCAACGUUAAUCGGGGCAGGGUGAGUCGACCCCUAAGGCGAGGCUGAAAAGCGUAGUCGAUGGGAAACAGGUUAAUAUUCCUGUACUUGGUGUUACUGCGAAGGGGGGACGGAGAAGGCUAGGCUAGCCGGGCGACGGUUGUCCCGGUUUAAGCGUGUAGGAGGGUGUUCCUGGUAAAUCCGGAAUGCCGUUAACUCUGAGGCGUGAUGACGAUGCACUACGGUGCAGAAGUAGUUGAUGCCAAGCUUCCAGGAAAAGCCUCUAAGCAUCAGGUAACACGAAAUCGUACCCCAAACCGACACAGGUGGUCAGGUAGAGAAUACCAAGGCGCUUGAGAGAACUCGGGUGAAGGAACUAGGCAAAAUGGUGCCGUAACUUCGGGAGAAGGCACGCUGGCGCGUAGGUGAAGUCCCUUGCGGAUGGAGCUGAAGCCAGUCGCAGAUACCAGCUGGCUGCAACUGUUUAAUAAAAACACAGCACUGUGCAAACACGAAAGUGGACGUAUACGGUGUGACGCCUGCCCGGUGCCGGAAGGUUAAUUGAUGGGGUCAGCCGCAAGGCGAAGCUCUUGAUCGAAGCCCCGGUAAACGGCGGCCGUAACUAUAACGGUCCUAAGGUAGCGAAAUUCCUUGUCGGGUAAGUUCCGACCUGCACGAAUGGCGUAAUGAUGGCCAGGCUGUCUCCACCCGAGACUCAGUGAAAUUGAACUCGCUGUGAAGAUGCAGUGUACCCGCGGCAAGACGGAAAGACCCCGUGAACCUUUACUAUAGCUUGACACUGAACAUUGAGCCUUGAUGUGUAGGAUAGGUGGGAGGCUUUGAAGCGUGGACGCCAGUCUGCGUGGAGCCAACCUUGAAAUACCACCCUUUAAUGUUUGAUGUUCUAACUCGGCCCCGUAAUCCGGGGUGAGGACAGUGUCUGGUGGGUAGUUUGACUGGGGCGGUCUCCUCCCAAAGAGUAACGGAGGAGCACGAAGGUUAGCUAAUCACGGUCGGACAUCGUGAGGUUAGUGCAAAGGCAUAAGCUAGCUUGACUGCGAGAGUGACGGCUCGAGCAGGUGCGAAAGCAGGUCUUAGUGAUCCGGUGGUUCUGAAUGGAAGGGCCAUCGCUCAACGGAUAAAAGGUACUCCGGGGAUAACAGGCUGAUACCGCCCAAGAGUUCAUAUCGACGGCGGUGUUUGGCACCUCGAUGUCGGCUCAUCACAUCCUGGGGCUGAAGUAGGUCCCAAGGGUAUGGCUGUUCGCCAUUUAAAGUGGUACGCGAGCUGGGUUUAGAACGUCGUGAGACAGUUCGGUCCCUAUCUGCCGUGGGCGUUGGAAGAUUGAGAGGGGUUGCUCCUAGUACGAGAGGACCGGAGUGAACGCACCACUGGUGUUCGGGUUGUCAUGCCAAUGGCACUGCCCGGUAGCUAAGUGCGGAAAAGAUAAGCGCUGAAAGCAUCUAAGCGCGAAACUUGCCUCGAGAUGAGUCUUCCCUGGGCCUUUAAGGCCCCUGAAGGAACGUUUAAGACUAAGACGUUGAUAGGCUGGGUGUGUAAGUGCAGCGAUGCAUUGAGCUAACCAGUACUAAUGAUCCGUGAGGCUUAACCUU
rnacentral:rRNA from 1 species